ACUUAAAUCGGUCAGCUAGCUAGCUGUGUUAACUUUUUAAAAAGGAAGCAAAAUUAAUAUUUCGGUCUGAACUCCGCCCAGUAAGUGGCGGUGAAGGCAAUUAAAGGUGUGACAUCUGCCUUAAAACGAAAGUUAGAUGGAAGAAGACGCCAUUUGAACGCUGUUAUUUAGCAAGCGAGUGAUUUAACAAAACACCGAGAAAAAUAAAUUAGAAGACAAGAAAGCGCAAGACGGGACAGCCAAUCUUCAUUUACUCAGUUACUAUUAGCAGCUAUCCAACAUUUUGACCGACACCCCUCCCACCAAAAAGAAGUUGUUUUCUGGACUAAGUUAGCUACCAUGGCGUGCACAGCUACUUUGAAGCGUUCAGUGGAGUUGGAGGCCCUUCACAGCCCUCAAUCUCCAAAACGGCGAAGGUGCAGCAAUCUGCCCGGGACUCCGGUCUCCCCGUCUCCAAAGCGAUGCAACUUGCUGUCUGCUACAGGUGACAACAGUCCGAUGUCACCCCAACCGACUUGUGGAGGAGAACACAGGCUCACCCCAGAGCAGAUUGUCCAGAAUCUUAGGCAAGAAUACAGCCGCUAUCAGAGGAGGCGGAAGCUUGAGGCGUCCUUCAACCAGAGCCAGUCCCAGAGUCUAAGUGAUGGCCCAGGCCAAAGCCCUGGCUUCAUGGCACCAAGCGCCCAACCAGGGUCUUCUGUGAAGAGGGACCAGCCCUGUUUCACACUGCACCAAGUUGGCUCUCUGUGUGAACGGAUUCUCAAGGACCAUGACGAGAACAUCCGUGAAGAGUAUGAGCAAGUCCUCAACACUAAACUGGCAGAUCAUUUGACGUUUUGGUUCCUUCCCAGAACAAUAUGAAUCGUUUGUGAAGUUCACACAUGACCAGAUCAUGAAACAAUAUGGCGCCAGACCCUCCAGCUAUGUCUCAUGAAUUAUCUUAAAUAAGGAAGUUACCCGCUCUCACGUCUAGACUGCUGCUCGCCUAUCUCCACGUUUUUCUUUACUACUUCAGUGCUAUGAUUUUCUUUUUGACUUAACACUCAAUAAUCUGAGUUGUACUUGUGUGGGUGUGCUCUUUUUUUUGGGGGAGAUGGAUGGUUGACGUUCCUUUUUAAUAAAUUGCUGCAGAAAGCUAGGCUGAUGUGACUUCUAUUUAACCUCCCAAACCCACUGCUGCAGCAUGAAUCCUCAUUUUUCACCAACCAUACAUGAAAAUGUUUUUUUUUUUUUUAAAUUUAAUGAGAGUUAUUUGCCAUUUUGUGCUUUAUCUAAAUUGUAUUUGAUGUUAUACAGGGGGUACUUCAGUGUACUACAGACGGUUUUGCUUUUCUUGAAACAUAUUUUUGUACAUGGCUGACUCCCUUGUCUUGCAUAUUUCAAUUGAUCUACCCUUUCCAGAAAAUGAUCAGGUCAACCCCACGAUAAUCUGUUUGGAAUUGGCAAGGUUCUUGUUCAGACAUUCUACCCAAUUAUGCUGCAAUUGAGGAGAUGCCAGCAAAGCAUGUGUUCUUAUACAGAGCUCUUUAUAAAAUAUGCAGGCUAUUACUCCCAAGAAUACCAUGAAGGGAAGGGCUCAUUUAUUGACUGAUUAAGAUCCUUUUCACAGGGAUAGACUAUGGUUGAGGCUUUGUUUCGUGUGAGAAUGAAAUGUGGGGAAACUGCACCUAUCCUCUCUUGGUUUGGAAUAAAACACCAUUGAAGAAAAAAAGAUUGCGGUCGGAGUAAAGUAUAACUGUGUCUAAUAUACCCAUGGUUGAAACUGCAGUCCUUUAAAAAAACAUUUUUUAAUCUAUAAUACUUGGGCCCUUGAGAGGUGUGUAAGGGAACCACACUCAUUGUAGUGACCUUCUCAAAGUUUUCGAUCUGUAGCCGGUCCCCCUUUUUUAAAUUUAUUUUAUUGAAUGUUCUGCAUAUGAUUUAAAAACUCUUAAUGUACUACUUGAUAUCCCUAUUAAAUGACUAGUUGUGGGUUAUUAGUCAGGGGAUCCUAUAAUACUGGUGUGUUCUGUAAAGCCUGUGAUUAGGACUGACGGGGUUAUUUAGUCCUUUUACAUAGUACUACUGAAUACAGUGAAUGUAUGUCUUUAACGGAUGGCUUUGGGUUGAAACAAAACUGAUUUUCAUCAUUCAAACAUGAACUAAUGUGCUUCUUCACAAGCUGUGUACAUAGGGUGCAAGCCUACCAUUAGGAAGUACCAUUUUAAAUGCAUCAUGAGUUACGACCUUUCUGACCAUUUCUUUACACAGACGAAGACUUGAUUCUCUAAUUGUGUGGUUUUGGAUUGAGUUCUACAAGAAGAUCUUACUAUGAACUUUUAAUCAAAAAUACCCAAUCAAUUUUUUUUAAUUUUCCUACAUGUAAUAAUGUGUGUUUUUUGAGCUCAGUUUUGCUGUACACAAUUAUAACAUUGUUGAAUAAAGCCUUGAUUUGAAGGGAA